UUGGUGACAGCUGACGCCGUCAGCCUCUCACCAUGCAGACGCCGGCCCCGAUGGCUGAGCCUGGCUCAGGGUGACAGCAAGAGCUUGUCAGUGCAGAGAGCACAGCUGAGCAGGGAGCGGCACGAUGCUCAGGCCGGGGCUGUCCCUGCUCCUGGCUCUUUGCAUGGCUUCUCUCUGCCCCGGCAGCCUUGGCCGUCUCAGCCGUCCCUCCUGGGCCACGCUCAUGUGGGAUGUGCCCGACCAGGACCUGCAGCAGCAGCGCACUGGCCUGGGGAGCCAGCGCUCCUACCGGCCCUUACCAGCAGGGCGGCUCCAACACAUCCCUGCCGGGCUGGGUCCGGCACUGGUGUCCCCAGAGGUGGCCUGUUUGAGCUGCUCAGCCCUGUGCCUGCUGCUCAGUGGGGCUUUGCUUGUAUGCUACCUCUGCAGAAAAGCCAAGAGACACCUGAGAGAGACGUGCCAGGAACCCUCAGCUUCUCCAGAGACCUGCUGCCAGGGUCACUGCUCCUGCAAGAACUAUGAGCUGAUCCACCGGCUGAAGGAAAAUCCUGACCUGCUGAAGAGGUACCUGCGGCACCUGCGCAACUGCUACGUGUAGGAGGAUGUCCUCCAGAGACAAGAGAAGAAGAAAAUGUGGGAAGACUUGGAAGAGGAGGAGACACUUCUGCACUUGCUCAUAGAGCCACAGCUCCAGCAAGGCUCUGGGAGGGACAGGGUAUGGCAAGGGAUGCAGUGAGUAAUGUGACAUCUCUGGCAAUAAACGUUCUAUAGGAAACUGGC